rnacentral:rRNA from 1 species
AUGCCACCGCACAAUUCUUUUCGCGAAUACGCAAAACUUACGUAUCAUUGCAUUGAUAGAAGGAGCAGAAAUAGUACAGAUGACGGUACAACACAUGACACGAACACACAUAGGCGUGAACAUGGUGCCCGGAGUAAAGAGACAAGGGAUGCUCGGCCCGAACAGAGGAUACAUACGACACAGCUAAACCAACCAAGCCCCAACCAAAAGCGGCAAUCCCGAACCAACAAGAUCACCAACAUCAUCGGAGACAAGACCCGGGACACCGCAAGCGAGCAAGAUGACACCUUCAAGAAGGAAGACGACGCCGAGACGCCGUCGCCAUCCGGUCCGGAAGAACUAGACCUAGGGUUUCCCCUAAGCUCGAAGAGGGGCACAACCGAGGGCCUUGACAACGCCUCCCAGGAGGAAACGACAUCCGCAGACGCCGCCGCUGCCAGCAUCGGUAAACCAGGCAGGGUUUUCUCCCUGGCCUACGGCUGA